AAAGAGCACUGCCAGGGUCCCCUGGUUUGUAUAGGUCUGUACCAGGACUCUCUCCCACCUCUCAUCUUGGACAGAAUAGAAUACUAAUGGAAUCCAACACAGGAACUGUAUACUGAUGUACUUCCAGCUAAACACAGUUGUAGUGAUAGGGUGAUAGGCAAACUAAAGCAGCAGCACAAGCAGUGAUCAGUGUCUCACCAUUUGACCAAUAGAAACAAACCUCUGCAGUGCUGAAGGUGGAGUGACAGCCAAACCAGCAAAUCAGGCAGAAGGAAGGCGGCCAUUACUGCAGCAAAGGAGGAAAUCGGCAGUAAACAGCGUUACUAUCUGACUUGCACUGUAGGGGCAUAUGGAGGCGGGGUCAGGCAGGAGGAGUUUUUCCAAACUUCACAACACACAGCAACGGGGAAGCAGGCGGUGUACAGUCGUCUGUGACGUUCAGAAGGAACUACAUCUCCCAGAAUGCAUCGCUCACACAGGAACAAGGUCAACAUGCAAUGCAAUGCCUCCAUCCAUCCUCUCCGAAAAUGUUCAUCUGCCUGAUUGAAAACUCCUGUGCUCCGUGACUUUCUCACACCCAAGACUAUAUUCAGGGCCUAUUUUGAAUCUCAGUCCCGUCUGCAAUUGCCUCACAUGAAAUUGAAAGGGGCAGAGAACACCUAUUUAUUUUUAGCGUUACCAGAUUUUGGGCUCUGUCUGACAGUCUCCUGUUACUCAUUAGCAUUCCCCCGAUUUCUGGCAAAAAUCCAAUGUGCACAUGGGCAGAACAGCAGAGUAAUAUGCGCAGUACAUAAUGUUCAGGCUUCAUGUGUGCAUGUGCAUGAUGUUGCUUCCAAUGACAAAAUUAUCAACAAGUCCCUCUGUGACAAAUUAAGAAAGUUGAAAGAUCUGCACACACACCCAGGGCCACCAUCAGGGGGACACAGGGAGUAACAGUUGUACUGGGCCUAAAGGGGUGCUGCUCUUUCCGAAUUAGCUGGCCCCCCUUGGCAGCCUGUAAACUGGAUCCGAAGUGCAAUGUCCCAAAGACCUGGAAACCCAAAGACACAAAGUCCCAAAACCAUGAAAGGAGCCAAAGGGAACAAGAAAAGAGAACCUGAGAUCAACACUGUGGAAUGCAGACCCGGCCUGGCAAUCUGUGGAUUCUGGCAAACUGAACUGCUAUCAGUGGGGUGCAUGGGGAACAGUCCCGGGCCUGGUGGCUUUCGAGUCUUAAAGGGGCUGGUUCACCUUUAAGUUAACAUUUAGUAUGUUAUAGAAUGGCCAAUUCUAAUCAACUCCUCAAUUAGCCUUCAUUAUUUAUUUUGUUAUAGUUUUUUUAA